UACGCGUGUGACGAAUGUGUCGCGACGUAGGAAUAUAAAUCCAUCGAGCCAAUAUCUCGAGUUGGAAGAGAAAAGCCAAGAUAGAGUAAAAGAGAGAGGAAAACUAAAGAGAAGGAGUGUGAGAGAGAGAGAGAGAGAGAGAGAGAGGGAGAGAGAGAGACAUAAUACGUAGGAAAAAUAGGAAAAAUCAUGGGUGCGUUGUAUAAAAAGUAAAGAGCAGAAACGAUGUGGGAAAAACGAGUAAGUGAGAGAAAAAUGUUCAAUAGAAAUUCUACUUUUUCAAUCUAUAGAAAAGCCAUCACGACGGGAGAGUACCUUAGCAGAUUAAACCAAUCGUGGCAACUAGAUAUUAAACGUCUAAAAAAAAAAUAUAGUUUCACUUACAUUAUCGGAGACUAUAUUUUUUCUAGACUGAUUCUUUCGAGAGUUAAUGAUUAGGAAAAUUUUCCCCGGCACCGAACGUCCGUCUACCAUAUCAAGAAUAUAAACUGUAUCUUUGUAAAAUUGAAACGACGCUAAAAUGUCAUUCUAUUAUUUGCGAAAAUGGAGUAGAAUGAUAAAACGAAAGACGUGCGAUUGCAAGAGACUUUGAGACUUUGACUUUGACAGUAGCAUUUACACGUGCAAGAAAAUCGAUCGAUCAUUGGCCUUCCAUCGUAAAAUCGAUUAAUCACAGAAAAUAUGCAUGUACUACGGACAUGAAUAUUUAAAAGAAAAAGAAAGAAGGAAAAAAGAAAAAAAAGAGAGAGAGAGAGAGAUUCGUGAAAUCAAGAAUGUUCGAAAACUUCACCGGACAGAAUUAUGAAGUGAGAAAUUAUGUAAGUUCGAGAAAAUCUUAACAUAAGAUAUGAAAUUUCAAAAAGCACAUUAUUUGAUGACAUAUAACAUCUAAAAAAUCUUAAAAAGAAAUUACAUUGCAACUUACUAAAUUAGAUAAAUUUACAAAAAAAAAAAACUUUUUAGAAUCUGCAAAAAAAAAAAAUAAAAAACUACAUUCUUACUUCGUAUAUCUACCAAUAAAUUGAUUGAAUAGAAAUAAAAAUGAGAAGAAAAAGAAAAAAAAAGAAAAAAAAAAAGAAAAAAGAAUUUAAGAAUAAAAGAAAAACUUGGAAAAUGUAUUUAAAAGAACUAAUUGGAUCCUAGGAGAUAAAGAAAACCAGAGCACCGACAUAAAAAGAAAAAAAAGAAAGAAAAAAAAAAGGAACAAGAACAAAGAGUCUGUCUGUUUAGUUUGCUAAGAAAGUACUAAUGAAGAACUGGAUUAGAUGCUGAAAGUUACUAUGAAUGGAUUUACACGGAACUUUUGCUGAUAUUACGAUGAGUAUUUCCGACGAUUAUCUUUAUGAUCGUUGUAAAUUGUUUCGAAACUGAGCCUCUAUUUAAAUUAUUUUAGCCGUAUAAAUUCAUAUUCGCUAUAUCCGAUAUUAAGUGUCAUUCAAUGUACUUUUAAAAUCAUAUAAAAAAAAA